GGAGAGGUGGCCGAGCGGAUGAAGGCAGCUGCCUGCUAAGCAGUUGUACCAGAAAUGGUACCCAGGGUUCGAAUCCCUGCCUCUCCG
rnacentral:tRNA from 1 species